CUGAACUAUGCAAAAAGAUACGAAGUACCUGACUAUGACCCGUCUUGGACAUGUCACCCGAACAGGAAAUCACAUCCAAAGGAAUUUAUGGGCACGCUUAAGAUAUAACCACAUUCUGUUCUGGAAAGGAUCCUACUAGUCUUAGUUGCUGUGUCUGGGAUUAACAGUUAAGAAGAAACUGGUAAGUAGAUGGCUAGCAUACCCGAGACCUUUGCACAUACCACAGUGCCCUCUGUCCUGUCUGUGAGCAGGCCGGGAAGGGUCCUUGGGCUUUUGGGCCACCGAGGGGUGCACACUAUAGACUGGCCCCAGUGAUCUGGCCGUUAUACUCUGCCGUCUCCAUCUUGAGGAUGUAGGGGAUUAUGCUGUCUAUUGAAACAUUGCCAAUGAGACCAGUAAAAAAAAGUUCUUCUGUGAUGUUGGAGCUCAUCAGCCUGAGUGCCGGCAGGCGGACGAGAAUCCGGGCUAAUCUGUAAGAAGCAGGGUCAUUAGAGAAAGGAGGUCAGCCACCCUCAGACAUCACCCCGGACAGGCCCCCAGGGCCCCGCCUGCACCGCCACGGACUCAACCAAGCAAAUGGGUCCUCCUCUGAUUUCAAUGGUUCCUCUGACAGGAAUUUACCAGGAGAAAAAAAUAGAAGGAGUGAAUGGCAAGAUGUACAUACAGGUAUGUUCCCUUCAUUUUUUACAAUGACUCUGGUGGGUGUGGGAAAAGAAAAACUUGUAAAUCUAUCACAGAGGAUAGGCUAAAAAUACAGCCUGGUGUGUCUCCAUAUAACAGAUCACCACAUAGUAAAGAUCUACAUACUGAGUAAAAACUUAAGAUUGUGAAGCAGCAGGUAUAGCACUGUCUCAUUUGUGUGUGUUUAUUCGUGUUCACAUGUAAAGGAUUAGAAGAAUGUUCACCAGAACCUCUGGGUAUUGGGAUUGGGAGUUUACCUAUUAAAACCUGUUCAGUACUGCCCGAAUUUUCAGUGUUCAUUUAAAGCAACAGUUUUCAUUUUGGAAAGACCCUGUGCGGGAGGACACCCCAUGGCCCCAGGCCACUGGAUACUGUGGCUGAAGCAGAUCCCCUGCACCCCACACACAAAGCCCAUGUGCACAGGAUGCUCCUCCGCUGACAGCUGAGUUGGGCAGCAACCUGGAUUUUCACCAGUAGGAAAAUGUUAAAGAAGUUAUGGCAUCUCCUUAGCCACAGAAAAUGCUGGAGUAUGUAUGCUCAAUGAACACUAAAAAGGUUAAGGUUAUAAAACCUUACUUGGUAUUUUACGAUUCCAGUUACACAAACAAACAAUUUCUAGAAGUAAAUACAUGAAAUGUUCACAGCUAUCACAGUAAGUAUUUACAUGGAGUUAAAAGUUCUCUUUUUGUUUUCCAGAAGUUUCUAGUUUUUUUUUCCUGCAGUGCACAUUACAUAUAUGCUGUUUUUGGAAAGGGGAACUAUAUUCUUAUUAUGCAAGCAGCAUUCUAUCACCAUCACCCAUUCAUAGCCACUGAUCUUGAAGGGCACACAAAGGGGUUACCAGCUCAAACCUAGAAUGGCUGACAGGCUCUGAAGGGUCAGCAAGGAUAAAUCAGGGAGGACUUCCUGCACUGUAGCACUUGUCAAAGGUUUGCUAAGAUUUCUAUCAGCAGAGAUGCAAAGAAAGAAUGGGGAGGAAUGGGAGGGUUCUUCAGGAGAACAAAGUACGAGAAAGGACAGAGGAUGGGAAAGACUUAAAAAAAGAAAGGAAGUGACCCAUUCUAAGGCCUUUGGUAACUCUCUUGAGUUUCUGAGUCCUAUGUCCCAUUUUUGGCCCCAAAGCAUCUGGCUUACCACUUUAUCCCCCUGGGUCCCUGACUGGACUGGAAGUGACUCAGGAUUUUUUUCAGAAACAUCUACUUUCAAAGGCUGGAGAGUUUCUGUUGUGAUUCUCCUGUGCUGUGGCUCCACCAGUGGUCUCCAGAGGGGCAUUCCCAGCCUCUUCUGGCCCCGAGGCAUCACAUGGGAGCAGGCCCAUGACCACCUCAGGGACGACCUGCCUGGAUGUCUGGGCUCUGGGGUGGUUGACGAUGGCUGCCAGGAUGGUGGAGAGACUCAUGACCUGGGAGCACUGCGCCAGGCCGAGGGUGAAGAGCUCGUUCCAGCAGGCCCGCACCAGGCUGGUGUUGCAGUCUUGUCUGGGAACAUGGGGAGACAGCUGCAGGGGAGCUGGCACUUCUCCAAGCCCCAGCAUGCCCCAAAUAAGCGGACUCAGCAAGCGUCUGUUGAAAGUCUGUGCUAUGUCGAGACUCCUCCGAGGAUACAAUUGUCUAUGAAUCUCUUAUCUGAAGUCCCUCUGAAGAUAAACAGCCUACUCUCUUAAAAAAGGUUUGUUAGACUCAAGUAAUGAGAACUUGUAGCAGGCACAACGGAACUGUCAUUUCCCAUGAUCGAGGAAAUCUGCAGCAGUCCUGGUGUGGCUCUGUCUCAAGAAGCUGCAGCACUCAAGGGACAAAGCUGAGCAUGGACUCUGAAAGCAGGAGACAUGCCUUACACCCACGCUUAAGAACUGAGGACCUGCCAACCUGCAGGGAGAAGCUGGGACAUGAUGGGCUUUCAGCCCUGCCCUGGGGAAUUUAUGGACAGCUCAACAUGGUCGGUGCACUGCAGAACCUUAUGCCCCUAUCUCAGAAGCCCCCAAAUGCAGCAUCUCUCUACUUAAGAUCUCAGGACGACUCCUGACUUCUAUUCCACUCCACCCCUGGCUCCUACCACCCAGUCCUCGGCACAUGGAGAUGGCCUGAUAAAAGGUCUGAGGAACGGGUCAGCCUUGGCAACCAUGGUCCCUGGCUAGCAGUCCACUGAUGGUACUUAGUAAGAAUAUCAGCGUCACUUGAACGAGACCACAGGAACAAACUGGAAGGGCACUCAGAAACCUUCGAGGCCAUUCCUAGAGGGACAACCCUUGCCCAAGAACACAUACAGAGAGAAAGGCCACUUACCCCAGAGCCUGAAAGGCAGGGAUUGACCUGGCCCAGUGCAUGGAGAGGAAAAGCAGGCGGGACGCAGACUCGCAGAUGUAGUGCACGUUGAGGUACUCUGGCAUUGGGCUGGGCAUCGUGAGCUGGGGAGGAGGAGGCACACAGCACAGGUGGUGAUGGAGAGACAGGGCACAGCUUUGUCAACAUGAGUCCCUGUUGCAUCUCAACCACGCAGCAGCCUGGGUCACUGACACUGAAGCUCCUGUGCAGACCCUUCCUCAUGAAGCGUGUGUCCUCUGUAUGGGGGUGGGGGGCUGGCUCUGACUUCCCAUAGUUUCUUGCCCAGGGAACUGGGGUAUGAUGACUCUUGGAAUAAAGCCAGUGAUGGGGACCUCCCAGCUCACCCAAAGACACA